UACGUAGGUGGCAAGCGUUGUCCGGAAUUAUUGGGCGUAAAGAGCUUGUAGGCGGUUUGUCGCGUCUGCCGUGAAAAUUCGAGGCUCAACCUCGAACUUGCGGUGGGUACGGGCAGACUAGAGUGUGGUAGGGGAGACUGGAAUUCCUGGUGUAGCGGUGAAAUGCGCAGAUAUCAGGAGGAACACCGAUGGCGAAGGCAGGUCUCUGGGCCACUACUGACGCUGAGAAGCGAAAGCAUGGGGAGCGAACAGG
rnacentral:rRNA from 1 species